rnacentral:rRNA from 1 species
GACGAACGCUGGCGGCGUGCUUAACACAUGCAAGUCGAACGGAAAGGCCCUGCUUUUGUGGGGUGCUCGAGUGGCGAACGGGUGAGUAACACGUGAGUAACCUGCCCUUGACUUUGGGAUAACUUCAGGAAACUGGGGCUAAUACCGGCUAGGAGCUCCUGCUGCAUGGUGGGGGUUGGAAAGUUUCGGCGGUUGGGGAUGGACUCGCGGCUUAUCAGCUUGUUGGUGGGGUAGUGGCUUACCAAGGCUUUGACGGGUAGCCGUCCUGAGAGGGUGACCGGCCACAUUGGGACUGAGACACGGCCCAGACUCCUACGGGAGGCAGCAGUGGGGAAUAUUGCACAAUGGGCGGAAGCCUGAUGCAGCAACGCCGCGUGCGGGAUGACGGCCUUCGGGUUGUAAACCGCUUUCGCCUGUGACGAAGCGUGAGUGACGGUAAUGGGUAAAGAAGCACCGGCUAACUACGUG